rnacentral:rRNA from 1 species
AUUGAACGCUGGCGGCAGGCUUAACACAUGCAAGUCGAGCGCGCGGCGGACGGGUGUGCAACGUCUCGGAAACUGCUCGUUGGAGGGGGAUAACUCUUCUAAACGCUUGCUCAAAUCGCACAUCACCUGAUGUGCUCAUAUGGGAUUAGCUAGUAGGUGGGGUAACGGCUCACCUAGGCGACCAUCCCUAGCUGGUCUGAGAGGAUGACCAGCCACACUGGAACUGAGACACGGUCCAGACUCCUACGGGAGGCAGCAGUGGGGAAUAUUGCACAAUGGGCGCAAGCCUGAUGCAGCCAUGCCGCGUGUGUGAAGAAGGCCUUCGGGUUGUAAAGCACUUUCAGCGAGGAGGCGUUACCCGCAGAAGAAGCACCGGCUAACUCCGUGCCAGCAGCCGCGGUAAUUC